UCAAGCACCAGGAGCUCCUUGUUCUCGGUGCCCAGCACCAGGCAAGACACAGCAUCCUCGUCAGCCAGGUUCUUCUUCAAGGUGGUCAUGGUGGUGAUGACUGUCUACAGAAGGACUCCAGGGGUCACCCAGGGAACCUCCACACACCACCCCCAAGAUACUCCCAGAAUGCCACAUGAGGGAAGAAAGAGGGCAAAGGAGGAUGAAGAGGAAAUAUCAGAGAUGUGACAGAAGAUUUAAGUACAAAGGGAAAUAAAAAGAGAAGGGGGUAUUACCUGCCGCUUGAUGGAGUUGGACUUGUGUUGGUUUACAAAUGCCUCCAUUUCACUUAGCUCCAGCUGCAGAAACCUAGACACACAGAGAACUGGCAUCUGCAGGCCCCGGCCUCGCUGCCCUCCUCCAUCAUUCUGGCACAUUCUGGCGGCUGCUUCCUCUCCCUGGAGCCUCCCAAACCCUGGCCCUCCACAGGGUCCUUACCUGAGUGACUGGAUGGACAAAGGCUCCUCUGCCGUCUCCCUGCAAGGAAAGGGGCCAGCAUGGCAGCCGAAUGGAAGAAUGGGGCCCUGGGGCUCAGAUGGGAUGAAGGAGUGAGGGGGGUAUGAAGGGGAAGGCAGCCUCUCACCGGAUGCUCUCCAGCAUCUCCUUCAGGGUUAAGGGGUCGAUUCGGUCCUGUGACAAUGUGGGAAGAGAGCCUGUGAGCUCAAGCCAGGCAGGAAACCCAAUGUCUACACCCCCAGACAGCUCCACACUUCUAGGGGUACCUCUUGGUCUCUGCCUCCCUGCCAGCCUACCUCUGCACUGAGCACCAAGCUCACGUCCUUUAUCUGAAUCCAGUCUCAUGGCCAUGUACAUCAUCCCUCCCCAAAUCCAUGCCUCCCCAAAUUCCCCUCCUCUCUUGGUGUUUCCAGUCCUCCUUCUUCUCUGACAGGCCCCUACCUUCUUUGGUUUCAUCUUCCUCAAAUUUGGGCAGGGAUGUGGCUAGUGCAGAGAAAUUUUCUGGGUUCCACUCUCCAAGAGAACUGGCUCAGUGCCUCUCUGGGAGCCAUGCUGAGUAGCCAAGCACAACACCUUGUCCAGAAGUGCCAUCACUAGGCUGGGCACGGUGGUUCAUGCCUGUAAUCCCAACACUUUGGGAGGCCGAGGUGGGUAGAUCAUAUGAGGCCAGGAGUUCAAGACCAGCCUGGCCAACAUAGUAAAACCUUGUCUCUACUAACACAUACAAAAAAUUCGCCAGGCGUGGUUGCUGGUGCCUGCAAUCCCAGCUACUCAGGAGGAUGAGACAGAAGAAUUGCUUUAACCCGGGAGCCAGAGGCUGCAGUGAACCAAGAUCACGUCAUUGCACUCCAGUCUGGGCAACAAGAGUGAAACUCCGUCUCAAAAAAAAAAAAAGUGCCAUCACUGCUGCUGUCAGAGAUGGACUAUAGCUGACCUCCUGCCACCAGCCCACGUUCUUCCCAGGAGCCCAGCCCUCUUCACCCAGUGGCUGCCAUCUUUGCCUUCUGGUUCCCAACUCCCAUGUUAUUUAUUUACCUCUUUGGCCUGGUUCCAAAGGUCUUGUUCCAGAGGAUUUGGAGGCAAUUGGGGCAGGCUGAACUUGAAGUAGGGUCUGAGAUUCUUAUACACAUAGACACAAGGGCCUGAAGCAAGUGCCAGAGCUGGGGUCCGGGGCUCAUGUUGCUCCAUGAGGAAGGUGGCAGCAGCAGCUGGCAGAGCAGGUAGCGGGCUUUCGGUCAUCACCAGUGGUCCUUUGAGCACCUUCAGGCGGGGCUGCUGCCCACCAGGGCCAAGGUCCCCUACCACCAGCUGCAGGGAGAGGAUGGCUCAUUCUAGGCUCAGGGUCUGAAGACCUCUCCACUGACCCUCUUCUUGCCUUAUUGCUGGUGCACAUUCAUUCAUUCCUGCA
ensembl:lncRNA novel transcript, antisense to BBS1